GGGGCAGCUCAGUGGGAGAGCAUCUGCUUUGCAUGUAGAAGGUCCCAGGUUCAAUCCCCGAUAACACCU